GACGAACGCUGGCGGCGUGCUUAACACAUGCAAGUCGAACGGAAAGGCCCUGCUUUUGUGGGGUGCUCGAGUGGCGAACGGGUGAGUAACACGUGAGUAUCCUGCCCUUGACUUUGGGAUAACUUCAGGAAACUGGGGCUAAUACCGGCUAGGAGCUCCUGCUGCAUGGUGGGGGUUGGAAAGUUUAGGCGGUUGGGGAUGGACUCGCGGCUUAUGAGCUUGUUGGUGGGGUAGUGGCUUACCAAGGCUUUGACGGGUAGCCGGCCUGAGAGCGUGAACGGCCACAUUGGGACUGAGAGAGGGCCCAGACUCCUACGGGAGGCAGCAGGGGGGAGUAUUGCACAGUGGGCGGAAGUCUGAUGAAGAAACGCCGCGUGCGGGAUGACGGCCUUCGGGUGGUAAACCGCUGUCGCCUGUGACGAAGCGUGAGUGACGGUAAUGGGUAAAGAAGCACCGGCUAACUACGUG
rnacentral:rRNA from 1 species